UAUCGCUGGAAGAUGGCCUCGCGUCUGAUUAGCUAGAUGGUGGGGUAACGGCCCACCAUGGCGACGAUCAGUAGCCGGACUGAGAGGUUGACCGGCCACAUUGGGACUGAGAUACGGCCCAGACUCCUACGGGAGGCAGCAGUGGGGAAUAUUGGGCAAUGGACGCAAGUCUGACCCAGCAACGCCGCGUGAAGGAAGAAGGCUUUCGGGUUGUAAACUUCUUUUGUCGGGGACGAAACAAAUGACGGUACCUGACGAAUAAGCCACGGCUAACUAC
rnacentral:rRNA from 1 species